rnacentral:rRNA from 1 species
UACGUGGAUAACCUACCUAUAAGACUGGGAUAACUUCGGGAAACCGGAGCUAAUACCGGAUAAUAUUUUGAACCGCAUGGUUCAAAAGUGAAAGACGGUCUUGCUGUCACUUAUAGAUGGAUCCGCGCUGCAUUAGCUAGUUGGUAAGGUAACGGCUUACCAAGGCAACGAUGCAUAGCCGACCUGAGAGGGUGAUCGGCCACACUGGAACUGAGACACGGUCCAGACUCCUACGGGAGGCAGCAGUAGGGAAUCUUCCGCAAUGGGCGAAAGCCUGACGGAGCAACGCCGCGUGAGUGAUGAAGGUCUUCGGAUCGUAAAACUCUGUUAUUAGGGAAGAACAUAUGUGUAAGUAACUGUGCACAUCUUGACGGUACCUAAUCAGAAAGCCACGGCUAACUACGUGCCAGCAGCCGCGGUAAUACGUAGGUGGCAAGCGUUAUCCGGAAUUAUUGGGCGUAAAGCGCGCGUAGGCGGUUUUUUAAGUCUGAUGUGAAAGCCCACGGCUCAACCGUGGAGGGUCAUUGGAAACUGGAAAACUUGAGUGCAGAAGAGGAAAGUGGAAUUCCA